GAUGAACGCUGGCGGCGCGCCUAACACAUGCAAGUCGAACGAUUAAAGCACCUUCGGGUGUGUAUCACGUGGCGCACGGCUGAGUAACACGUGUGCAACCUGCCCCUUUCAUUGUGGUAGCACCUGGAAACCGUGGAUCAUACCGCAUACUUCGACACUUCCGCCUUGGUGACUCGUGAAAGCUCCGGCGGAGGGGGAUGGGCCCGCGGCCUGUUAGCUUGUUGGUGGGGUAACGGCCUACCAAGGCAAUGACGGGUAGCUGGGUUGAGAGGCUGACCGGCCAGAUUGGGACUGAGACACGGCCCAGACUCCUACGGGAGGCAGCAGUGGGGAAUAUUGCACAAUGGGCGGAAGCCUGAUGCAGCGACGCCGCGUGCGGGAUGAAGGCCUUCGGGUUGUAAACCGCUUUCAGCAGGGACGAGGCGAAAGUGACGGUACCGGGAGAAGAAGCACCGGCUAACUACGUG
rnacentral:rRNA from 1 species